rnacentral:rRNA from 1 species
UACAGAGACUGCAAGCGUUACUCGGAUUCACUGGGCGUAAAGGGAGCGCAGGCGGAUUGGUGUGUCAGGCGUGAAAUACCGGGGCUCAACCCCGGGGCUGCGCCCGAAACUACCAAUCUAGAGACUUGGAGGGGUAAGCGGAAUUCUUGGUGGAGCAGUGAAAUGCGUAGAUAUCAAGAGGAACACCAGCGGCGAAGGCAGCUUACUGGACAAGAUCUGACGCUCAGGCUCGAAAGCGUGGGGAGCAAAAGGGAUUAGAUACCCCUGUAGUCCACGCUGUAAACGAUGCGAAUUAGGUCUCGGAGAAGUCGAACGCUUCGGGGCUCAAGCUAACGCAUUAAAUGCGCCGCCUGAGGACUACGGCCGCAAGGCUA